GAAUUAUAUAUGGUUGGCAGUCAGAGAGCCAUAUUUAUUUAGUAACGGUCUUAAACUCAACUUGCCUUUCCAUUGAUGUACCUGGAUAAGUGAAACUAGACUACGUUUACCUGCUUGCUUAUUUAUGCAGGGGAGAUCUUGGCAGAGGCUUGCCCUAGGGGAGAGAGAUGUGGAGGCCAGAAAGAAACUCCAUGUGCAGUCCUUCGGAGAAAACUCAAUUCUUAUGUGGCCUUGGUCCAUCUCAUGCUCGCCUGGCACGAACACAAGGCAAGCAGCCAUUUGGAUUCAUAGGGCCCAACCCUUUGCUGGGGGCAUUUGGGGGCAGACCAGUAUACUAAAACCCCCACUAGAUGGAAGGAGAUAACUUCAUGAUAACAAUGAACACAGAGCCCCAAGAUUGGUUGGAAUUGGCAAGUUGAUGAUAUUAACUCCUGAUUAACCACCACCGACCGAUCAGAAGAAUGUCCACAAACUAAUCAAACCUCACAAGCCUCUUCCUUAAGGAUAAGGGAUCUUUAAAAACAUUUUCCCCAAAUGAGAUCUGAGGCCUUUAGAACAUUAGCUCCCCUCAUACACCUUGCUUGCCUUUCAAUAAAUGCUGCACUUUGUUUCACCACCACCUUGUCAGUAAACUGGCCUUACUGAGCUUAGGCAAAUAGACCCAAGUUUGUUUUGGUAACAUCAGGUUCCACUGAGACAUGGGCCAGAUCUUUAGUUCACCUAAACAUUCAUCAGCAGGAUCACAUGCCUGUGUUAAGCCAGGAGCUCAGAGUCUGGACAGGAAAGCAGGCUCAGGAAUAGACAAAUUAUAUCAGAAGGCAGUCUGUGCAAGCCCAGAAGGGAAAUCAUGAUGCCUGGGAUCCAGGAAUCAAGGAGGGUUGGGAGAAAGGGGAGAAGGCUUCACUGAGGAGGUGAUUUUGAACAAGAG
ensembl:lncRNA